GAUGAACGCUGGCGGCGUGCCUAAUACAUGCAAGUCGAGCGAACGGACGAGAAGCUUGCUUCUCUGAUGUUAGCGGCGGACGGGUGAGUAACACGUGGAUAACCUACCUAUCAGACUGGGAUAACUUCGGGAAACCGGAGCUAAUACCGGAUAAUAUUUUGAACCGCAUGGUUCAAAAGUGAAAGACGGUCUUGCUGUCACUUAUAGAUGGAUCCGCGCUGCAUUAGCUAGUUGGUAAGGUAACGGCUUACCAAGGCAACGAUGCAUAGCCGACCUGAGAGGGUGAUCGGCCACACGGGAACUGAGACACGGUCCGGACUCCUGCGGGAGGCAGCAGUAGGGAAUCUUCCGCAAUGGGCGAAAGCCUGACGGAGCAACGCCGCGUGAGUGAUGAAGGUCUUCGGAUCGUAAAACUCUGUUAUUAGGGAAGAACAUAUGUGUAAGUAACUGUGCACAUCUUGACGGUACCUAAUCAGAAAGCCACGGCUAACUACGUG
rnacentral:rRNA from 1 species